rnacentral:rRNA from 1 species
GACGAACGCUGGCGGCGUGCUUAACACAUGCAAGUCGAACGGAAAGGCCCUGCUUUUGUGGGGUGCUCGAGUGGCGAACGGGUGAGUAACACGUGAGUAACCUGCCCUUGACUUUGGGAUAACUUCAGGAAACUGGGGCUAAUACCGGAUAGGAGCUCCUGCUGCAUGGUGGGGGUUGGAAAGUUUCGGCGGUUGGGGAUGGACUCGCGGCUUAUCAGCUUGUUGGUGGGGUAGUGGCUUACCAAGGCUUUGACGGGUAGCCGGCCUGAGAGGGUGACCGGCCACAUUGGGACUGAGAUACUGCCCAGACUCCUACGGGAGGCAGCAGUGGGGGAUAUUGCACGAUGGGCGGAAGCCUGAUGCAGCAACGCCGCGUGCGGGAUGACGGCCUUCGGGUUGUAAACCGCUUUCGCCUAUGACGAAGCGUGAGUGACGGUAAUGGGUAGAGAAGCACCGGCUAACUACGUG